rnacentral:rRNA from 1 species
UACGAAGGGGGCUAGCGUUGUUCGGAGUUACUGGGCGUAAAGGGCGCGUAGGCGGCCCUCCAAGUCGGGCGUGAAAGCCCACGGCUCAACCGUGGAAUUGCGCUCGAGACUGAAGGGCUCGAGGACGGGAGAGGAUGGUGGAAUUCCCAGUGUAGAGGUGAAAUUCGUAGAUAGUUGGGAAAGAACACCGGUGGCGAAGGCGGCCAUCUGGACCGUAUCUGACGCUGAGGCGCGAAAGCGUGGG